rnacentral:rRNA from 1 species
UCCUACGGGAGGCAGCAGUCGGGAAUUUUGCGCAAUGGACGAAAGUCUGACGCAGCAACGCCGCGUGAGGGAUGAAGGCCUUCGGGUUGUAAACCUCUUUUCUCAGGGAAGAUAAUGACGGUACCUGAGGAAGAAGCCACGGCUAACUACGUGCCAGCAGCCGCGGUAAUACGUAGGUGGCAAGCGUUGUCCGGAUUACUGGGCGUAAAGAGCGCGCAGGCGGUCGUGCAAGUCGCGUGUGAAAGCCCCCGGCUCAACUGGGGAGGGUCACGCGAUACUGCUCGACUGGAAGGCAGGAGAGGGAAGUGGAAUUCCCGGUGUAGGGGUGAAAUGCGUAGAUAUCGGGAGGAACACCAGUGGCGAAGGCGACUUCCUGGCCUGUUCUUGACGCUGAGGCGCGAAAGCUAGGGUAGCAAACGGGAUUAGAUACCCCGGUAGUCCUAGCCGUAAACGAUGGACACUAGGUGUUGGUGGUAUCAACCCCGCCAGUGCCGUAGCUAACGCAUUAAGUGUCCCGCCUGGGGAGUACGGCCGCAAGGCUAAAACUCAAAGGAAUUGACGGGGGCCCGCACAAGCAGCGGAGCGUGGGGUUUAAUUCGACGCAACGCGAAGAACCUUACCAGGACUUGACAUGACCAGGAAAGCGGCGGAAACGUCGUCCCCCCGCAAGGGGCCUGGCCACAGGUGUUGCAUGGCUGUCGUCAGCUCGUGUCGUGAGAUGUUGGGUUAAGUCCCGCAACGAGCGCAACCCCUACUGUGUGUUGUAUCACUCACACGGGACUGCCGAGAGAAACUCGGAGGAAGGUGGGGAUGACGUCAAGUCAGCAUGGCCCUUACGUCCUGGGCUACACCCACGCUACAAUGGCCGGUACAACGGGCUGCGAAACCGCGAGGUGGAGCAAAUCCCUUAAAGCCGGUCUCAGUUCGGAUUGUAGGCUGCAACUCGCCUACAUGAAGCCGGAGUUGCUAGUAACCGCCGGUCAGCAUACGGCGGUGAAUACGUUCCCGGGCCUUGUACACA